GGGUUGUGAGGUUAAGCGACUAAGCGUACACGGUGGAUGCCCUGGCAGUCAGAGGCGAUGAAGGACGUGCUAAUCUGCGAUAAGCGUCGGUAAGGUGAUAUGAACCGUUAUAACCGGCGAUUUCCGAAUGGGGAAACCCAGUGUGAUUCGUCACACUAUCAUUAACUGAAUCCAUAGGUUAAUGAGGCGAACCGGGGGAACUGAAACAUCUAAGUACCCCGAGGAAAAGAAAUCAACCGAGAUUCCCCCAGUAGCGGCGAGCGAACGGGGAGCAGCCCAGAGCCUGAAUCAGUGUGUGUGUUAGUGGAAGCGUCUGGAAAGGCGCGCGAUACAGGGUGACAGCCCCGUACACAAAAAUGCACAUACUGUGAGCUCGAUGAGUAGGGCGGGACACGUGGUAUCCUGUCUGAAUAUGGGGGACCAUCCUCCAAGGCUAAAUACUCCUGACUGACCGAUAGUGAACCAGUACCGUGAGGGAAAGGCGAAAAGAACCCCGGCGAGGGGAGUGAAAAAGAACCUGAAACCGUGUACGUACAAGCAGUGGGAGCACAGAGCAAUCUGUGUGACUGCGUACCUUUUGUAUAAUGGGUCAGCGACUUAUAUUCUGUAGCAAGGUUAACCGAAUAGGGGAGCCGAAGGGAAACCGAGUCUUAACUGGGCGUUAAGUUGCAGGGUAUAGACCCGAAACCCGGUGAUCUAGCCAUGGGCAGGUUGAAGGUUGGGUAACACUAACUGGAGGACCGAACCGACUAAUGUUGAAAAAUUAGCGGAUGACUUGUGGCUGGGGGUGAAAGGCCAAUCAAACCGGGAGAUAGCUGGUUCUCCCCGAAAGCUAUUUAGGUAGCGCCUCGUGAAUUCAUCUCCGGGGGUAGAGCACUGUUUCGGCAAGGGGGUCAUCCCGACUUACCAACCCGAUGCAAACUGCGAAUACCGGAGAAUGUUAUCACGGGAGACACACGGCGGGUGCUAACGUCCGUCGUGAAGAGGGAAACAACCCAGACCGCCAGCUAAGGUCCCAAAGUCAUGGUUAAGUGGGAAACGAUGUGGGAAGGCCCAGACAGCCAGGAUGUUGGCUUAGAAGCAGCCAUCAUUUAAAGAAAGCGUAAUAGCUCACUGGUCGAGUCGGCCUGCGCGGAAGAUGUAACGGGGCUAAACCAUGCACCGAAGCUGCGGCAGCGACGCUGAUGCGUUGUUGGGUAGGGGAGCGUUCUGUAAGCCUGCGAAGGUGUGCUGUGAGGCAUGCUGGAGGUAUCAGAAGUGCGAAUGCUGACAUAAGUAACGAUAAAGCGGGUGAAAAGCCCGCUCGCCGGAAGACCAAGGGUUCCUGUCCAACGUUAAUCGGGGCAGGGUGAGUCGACCCCUAAGGCGAGGCCGAAAGGCGUAGUCGAUGGGAAACAGGUUAAUAUUCCUGUACUUGGUGUUACUGCGAAGGGGGGACGGAGAAGGCUAUGUUGGCCGGGCGACGGUUGUCCCGGUUUAAGCGUGUAGGCUGGUUUUCCAGGCAAAUCCGGAAAAUCAAGGCUGAGGCGUGAUGACGAGGCACUACGGUGCUGAAGCAACAAAUGCCCUGCUUCCAGGAAAAGCCUCUAAGCAUCAGGUAACAUCAAAUCGUACCCCAAACCGACACAGGUGGUCAGGUAGAGAAUACCAAGGCGCUUGAGAGAACUCGGGUGAAGGAACUAGGCAAAAUGGUGCCGUAACUUCGGGAGAAGGCACGCUGAUAUGUAGGUGAAGUCCCUCGCGGAUGGAGCUGAAAUCAGUCGAAGAUACCAGCUGGCUGCAACUGUUUAUUAAAAACACAGCACUGUGCAAACACGAAAGUGGACGUAUACGGUGUGACGCCUGCCCGGUGCCGGAAGGUUAAUUGAUGGGGUCAGCGCAAGCGAAGCUCUUGAUCGAAGCCCCGGUAAACGGCGGCCGUAACUAUAACGGUCCUAAGGUAGCGAAAUUCCUUGUCGGGUAAGUUCCGACCUGCACGAAUGGCGUAAUGAUGGCCAGGCUGUCUCCACCCGAGACUCAGUGAAAUUGAACUCGCUGUGAAGAUGCAGUGUACCCGCGGCAAGACGGAAAGACCCCGUGAACCUUUACUAUAGCUUGACACUGAACAUUGAGCCUUGAUGUGUAGGAUAGGUGGGAGGCUUUGAAGUGUGGACGCCAGUCUGCAUGGAGCCGACCUUGAAAUACCACCCUUUAAUGUUUGAUGUUCUAACGUUGACCCGUAAUCCGGGUUGCGGACAGUGUCUGGUGGGUAGUUUGACUGGGGCGGUCUCCUCCUAAAGAGUAACGGAGGAGCACGAAGGUUGGCUAAUCCUGGUCGGACAUCAGGAGGUUAGUGCAAUGGCAUAAGCCAGCUUGACUGCGAGCGUGACGGCGCGAGCAGGUGCGAAAGCAGGUCAUAGUGAUCCGGUGGUUCUGAAUGGAAGGGCCAUCGCUCAACGGAUAAAAGGUACUCCGGGGAUAACAGGCUGAUACCGCCCAAGAGUUCAUAUCGACGGCGGUGUUUGGCACCUCGAUGUCGGCUCAUCACAUCCUGGGGCUGAAGUAGGUCCCAAGGGUAUGGCUGUUCGCCAUUUAAAGUGGUACGCGAGCUGGGUUUAGAACGUCGUGAGACAGUUCGGUCCCUAUCUGCCGUGGGCGCUGGAGAACUGAGGGGGGCUGCUCCUAGUACGAGAGGACCGGAGUGGACGCAUCACUGGUGUUCGGGUUGUCAUGCCAAUGGCACUGCCCGGUAGCUAAAUGCGGAAGAGAUAAGUGCUGAAAGCAUCUAAGCACGAAACUUGCCCCGAGAUGAGUUCUCCCUGACCCUUUAAGGGUCCUGAAGGAACGUUGAAGACGACGACGUUGAUAGGCCGGGUGUGUAAGCGCAGCGAUGCGUUGAGCUAACCGGUACUAAUGAACCGUGAGGCUUAACCUUACAACGCCGAAGGUGUUU
rnacentral:rRNA from 1 species